GAUUCAUGGCAAUGUAUGGCAAAACCACUACAAUAUUGUACAGUAAUUAGCCUCCAAUAAAAAUGAAUAAAUUUUUUUUAAAAAAAAAGCAUGGACUGAGUUUGGCCAAAGCCACCGCCCCUAGGUGCCCAGGUUGUGUCUGACAAAAGGACUCUCAGCCAAGGGAGCAAAAAUUCAUCUAAAUGGACUAAAAUUCAGCCUGAGCUCUGCUGUCUGAGCCAAGGCCCCGGUGUGGGGCUGCAUCAGCUGUAAAAAGGGAAGACUUUAUGAAUAAAGCUCAAAAAGUUGCCCUCUGUGUUCCAACUAGAACCCAAAGGGGCUGCCUCUGCAUUUGCCCAGCAUGUUGCCUUUUCCAGUUCACACAAAGCAGCAGAUGGACUACUGGCCCUGAAUUCAGCCAGAUGUGAUCAAUGGAAAGGAUAAAAUUCUAUGUGGAAGCACUUUCCACUCCAUAUCACCCUCCCUAGGGCAGGCAGAGGUGAUUCAGAAGAUUAGCAGGUGAAAGCAGAAAUUAGACUGACUAUGAAUUUUUCUGCCUACCUACAGCUUAUAGAGCUCAGUUGAGACAUUGAGGUCGACAGACUCUCCUGUGAGAAAUCAUCUGAGAGUGGACUGGUCAGAAAACACAGGAAGGAGAAGAUAUCAUGAUUUCUGAAGUCCAUUCUAGUCACAAACUGCAGGGCAAAUCCCAGCAGCAGGGCAGAAAAGCCUGAGAAAGAAACACCUGCAAGCGUGCCCUGACCUUAAGCCAAGACUCUGAUCUGGAUGGAGCUUGACUUGGAGAAAAUACCUAUGAUGGAUGUUCUAAGACAGAUGGGACAAAACCAAGGGGAGGUUUUUGUAAAGCUCUGCAGCACUGUGGGUGGGAUUUACGAGCACAUUGCUGCAAUACCCAAAGAGACCGGUACAGAAACUGUAGAGGCAAAAAUAGAAUUUCCCAGUGAAUUGCUCAGCCUGGCUACCAUGACUAUCAGACUGACUUUGUCUUGACUCCUUGACUGAAUUCCCACAAAAUACCAGCUGUCACAUGCCAUCCAGUUCCAGUUCAGGAAAAUGCUGUUACCAAUAUUCUGAUGAAAGAUUAUAUGUUCUAAACUGUGUUAAGUAUAAUCAUUCACUAAGCAGGGGAUUUCUUUUCCCGCAAAUGUUUUAAAUUAUUUGUAUUUUCUAGUGUUUUCUUGAUGCGUUUGAACUGUGGUAUUGGAGAAGACGCUUGAGAGUCCCUUGGACUGCAAG
rnacentral:lncRNA from 1 species